GCGGGUAUAGUUUAGUGGCAGAACGAGUGCUUCCCAAGCAUUAAAUCGGAGUUCGAUUCUCCGUACCCGCA
rnacentral:tRNA from 1 species